AACGAUCAUAUCAGGUUGAAACACAAGUUCCUGUACGAUCACCGAAGUUAAGCAAUGUCAAACCUGGUCAGUAUCUAGAUGGGUGACUGCUUGGGAAAUACCAGGUGCUAU